rnacentral:rRNA from 1 species
UACAGAGGUCCCAAGCGUUGUUCGGAUUCACUGGGCGUAAAGGGUGCGCAGGUGGGUUUGCAAGUUCGAUGUGAAAGCCCCGGGCUUAACCCGGGAACUGCGUUUGAUACGGAUGGGCUAGAGUUCGGGAGAGGAGAGUGGAAUUCCCAGUGUAGAGGUGAAAUUCGUAGAUAUUGGGAAGAACACCGGUGGCGAAGGCGGCUCUCUGGACCGAUACUGGCGCUGAGGCGCGAAAGCGUGGGGAGCAAACAGG